CUAGAGAAAGCCCGCGUGCAGUAAGGAAGACCCAACGCAGCCAUAAAUAAAUAAAUAAAUAAUUCGUUUAAAAAAAAAACAAAACAAAGAGCGGUAAGUGGUGGAAACUAACAAGAGAGAGGAAAGCAGGGAGGGGGUGUGGGGAUGCCGUAAUAGAUGGGGAAAGGAGUAGAAGAUUGAGGGCUGUCUAGUAACGUUUAUCAUGCACCUUCCUCUCUUGGCUCUGGGCUAAGAGUCUCGAGUCCUCUCAGAUGAUUAAGAGUUGCUGUCUUCCUGGUAAGGAGGGUGAAAUGCCUUUACAAAUGGAAAUUUCUAUCCUGCUUUUAGCCAAAUAGGAAGAAGGCAGAGAUAUUUUUUCCUUCUCUUUCUGCUAUUUUUCUUAGUUGCCUUCAGCUCAAAAUAAUCCUUAUGCCAAAGAGGCACAUGUGGGUGGCAUAUUCUGGUCCCCUUCGUGUGUACACAUGACUGAAAAGUACAUGGUGGGCUCUCCUUGUGUUCAUAGAAACACAUCGCUCAGUCCCCUAGCACGUGCUUGGCCUGGAACCUAGCGGAUCCCUUACAAAGUUGCCAUCUCUCCUGCCCUUUUAUGAUCUUGUCCAGUGCUCUAACUGCAACCUGGCAGCCUAGGCCCUGGCAGCCGGUCACAGUGGAAUGAAGUGUACCUGUGACUCUGUCACUGACAGAAAUCAUGACUCUCUUCAUAGCCCAUUACAGGUGGAGUGAAUGUCUACAUUAUGCUGAACUUCCAGAACCAGCUAGAGAUACAACAGCGACAGAGUCCUUCCUUCUGGUGAAGUGGACAGAUGAACAGGCAGGCAACCUCUAUGGAGAGACAGACACAGCUGAGAGUGAGCUCAGGGCUCUAAGGGACCACCCGAGGGGAUGCUUGUCCUGGUCCCGAGUAGUCAGGGAGGCUUCCCAGAGAUGAAUGGUGAGGAUGUGGGAGAAAACUUUCCUCUGCCUUUCUAGGUUCUUCUGGCUGGUCUAAGAAUUAAAUUGACAUGAGACAGAUUAACAGGAGAAAAUCACAUUUAGUUUCAUAUAUACAGGAACCCCACAUACAGGAGAAGGUCAGAGACCCACACAUACAUGAGAGGGUCAGAGACAGAAAGGUAAGAUGAGGUCUGUAUGCCAUCCUGAGCUGAGGAAUGCCAUCAGGACCUGGGGUUUCCAAGGACGGGAGGGUCAUUCAUGUGGGGAUAAGAAGAAGAGCGGACGUUGGGUAAUUAGAUGCGCUUUCCCUGACAUACAGAUAGGGCCACUUUGGUAAAAGGUAACUCUGGUAGCAACUCUUUUUCUGGGAAAAAUCCACAAUUGAAAUUCUUCUAAGUAGUUAGGGGAGGGGCAGUAAUUUCUCUAGAACCCGCAGGGUAUCGAUUGCCUUUAGCUCAAAAUAAUCCUCAUGCAAAAGUGACACAUUUUGGGGCGGGGGGUUCAUUAUGAACCCCUACGAAAUGCACCCAUGUACCAGCAACUAGAUAAAAAGCCCAGAAGAGUCUAUGCACCCCAGCAGCCCCAUCCAGUCACUGCCUCCCAAGGUUACUAUGUUAGUGAUGAUACUAGAUUAUUUUUGCCUGGUUUUGAACUUGAUAUGAAUAGAAUCACACGGAAUGUGUUCUUCCAGCUCUGGCUUCUUUUGCUCAACAGUAUUUUGGUGCAACUCAUCCAUACUGUUAAUAGCUGUAGUUCAUUCACUCCCAUUGCUGUCUUUAUUCCUUUGCUGGGAUAGAUCACUACUUAUUUAUUCAUUUUCCUGCUGGUGAACAUCUGAGUUGUAUCCAGCUGAGGCUGUUACAAAUAGUGUGCUACAGACAUUCCUGAGCACAUCUUUGGGUGAACAUAUGCACUCAUUUCCUUUGGGAUAUGCCCAGGGCAGAAUUUCUGGGCCACAGAGUAUGCAUGGGUGCAGUUUUAGUUGAUGCCAUACUUAGUUGAUAUUUAAAAGAGAAAAAGAGAGGAAGGGAGAAAACAUUUUUAAUUAUCUGAAAAAAAAAUUAAGCUUAAUGAACGUUUUAUCAAAGAGGCACUUUUCCUCUGUGACUGCACAAUUAGAAUUUAAAAAUAAUAAUUGGAGGAGAAGUCAGGGAUUGUGUAGUCCAAUAUUUUUCAGGCAUUGUAAAAUUCACACUGGGUUUUUCAAUUUUUUUAUUAUGGUAAAUAUACAUAACAUAAAAUUUACUAUUUUAACCAUUUAUAGUAAGUUUUGAAAUUAUUUUAGUUGGUCAUGAUCAAAAUUUUUUUUUAAAUGGAACAGAAUAAAAAAAAACCGUCACAAUAAACAUAAAUACUAUUGAAUAUUUCAUGGGACUUUUGUUAUGGGUGUGUGUGCUCUGGGUCAAAAAAGCUUGUAAAACACGGGUCUAGUCCAACUUUUAAAUUUACAGAGUGGAAGGUACACUCAGAGAUGUAAGUGAUGUUUCUAAACACAGUUUGAACUAGACCGUGACAUCCUGGCUUCCAGUUCAGUGUACUUUCCAACUUCCAUCUCACCACCUGAGAUCACUGCCGCUGAUCUUGUCAAAGUUACAGGCUAGAUGGGGCUGUGUGUUUGUGGCCCCGUACUUUACCCACGAGAAAGGAGGUCAAGUCCCCUGACCCUUGAGUUGGUCCCCAGGAGGCUGCCAGAGCCAGGACCCAACAACCAGCACCUUCUGAACCAUUAAAACUCGGGGCACCCGUUUGACCCUUUCUACUUUAGGGUCAACCAGGAAUAGUACAAACCUAGAAACUUGAAGAGUGGGGAAAGGACCUGUGGUUUGACAUUUUUCAGAAUGUUUUUUCUCUUCUGUGUGUGUUUCAAGGACACCUUUCAAGUGCAGAGUUCUGGAGAGGAAGCGCUAUAAAUAGAA